GACGAACGCUGGCGGCGUGCUUAACACAUGCAAGUGGAGCGACGAACCAGGGCUUGCCCUGGGGCAGAGCCGCGAACGGGUGAGUAACACGUGGGUAACGUGCCCCGAUGAUCGGGACAACCCGGGGAAACCCGGGCUAAUACCGAAUGUGCUCCCCUCACACCAGUGAGGGAUGGAAAGGAAGCUUCGGCCUCCGCAUCGGGAUCGGCCCGCGGCCCAUUAGCUUGUUGGUGAGGUAACGGCNCACCAAGGCUGCGAUGGGUAGCUGGUCUGAGAGGACGAUCAGCCACACUGGGACUGAGACACGGCCCAGACUCCGUACGGGAGGCAGCAGGUGGGGAAUC
rnacentral:rRNA from 1 species